GAUGAACGCUGGCGGCGUGCCUAAUACAUGCAAGUCGAGCGAACGGACGAGAAGCUUGCUUUUCUGAUGUUAGCGGCGGACGGGUGAGUAACACGUGGAUAACCUACCUAUAAGACUGGGAUAACUUCGGGAAACCGGAGCUAAUACCGGAUAAUAUUUUGAACCGCAUGGUUCAAAAGUGAAAGACGGUCUUGCUGUCACUUAUAGAUGGAUCCGCGCUGCAUUAGCUAGUUGGUAAGGUAACGGCUUACCAAGGCAACGAUGCAUAGCCGACCUGAGAGGGGGGUGGGCCACACUGGAACUGAGACCCGGUCCGGACUCCUACGGGAGGCAGCAGGAGGGAAUCUUCCGCAAUGGGCGAAAGACUGACGGAGCAACGCCGCGGGAGUGAUGAAGGUCUUCGGAUCGUAAAACUCUGUUAUUAGGGAAGAACAUAUGUGAAAGUAAUUGUGCACAUCUUGACGGUACCUAAUCAGAAAGCCACGGCUAACUCCGGC
rnacentral:rRNA from 1 species